rnacentral:ribozyme from 1 species
AGGAAACGUUACCGGUGGUUUAAUGCAAGGUGGGAUGAAUGGUGCCACCGUUGCUGUCGCCGCUGGUAACGGCACUGGAGUUGGUGGUCGUUGUAUCACUCGAUGGGAUGAAAAACUUGGAAUGAGAGUCAAAGUAACAGAC